rnacentral:rRNA from 1 species
GACGAACGCUGGCGGCGUGCCUAAUACAUGCAAGUCGAGCGCAGGAAGCUGGCGGAACUCUUCGGAGGGAAGGCAGUGGAAUGAGCGGCGGACGGGUGAGUAACACGUAAGGAACCUGCCUCAAGGAUUGGGAUAACUCCGAGAAAUCGGAGCUAAUACCGGAUAGUUCAACGGACCGCAUGGUCCGCUGAUGAAAGGCGCUCCGGCGUCACCUUGAGAUGGCCUUGCGGUGCAUUAGCUAGUUGGUGGGGUAACGGCCCACCAAGGCGACGAUGCAUAGCCGACCUGAGAGGGUGAUCGGCCACACUGGGACUGAGACACGGCCCAGACUCCUACGGGAGGCAGCAGUAGGGAAUCUUCCACAAUGGACGAAAGUCUAAUGGAGCAACGCCGCGUGAGUGAUGAAGGUUUUCGGAUCGUAAAACUCUGUUGUAAGGGAAGAACACGUACGAGAGGAAAUGCUCGUACCUUGACGGUACCUUACGAGAAAGCCACGGCUAACUACGUGCCAGCCGCCGCAGUAAGAC